UUGCCUGGGGCCACAGUCCUUCUGUCUCCUGCUAAAAAGGGGGCGGGUCCAAGGGACCCCGAGGACAGACAGGCAAUAAUAGAGCCCUCGGCCAACACUGAACCUGCAACACGCACUGAAGACGAGCAGAUGACAGGAUUCUUAUACAAAUAUGCUGUUGAUCUACAAGCUACGUAUGAGUCAGCGUCAGCACCGACAGAAACAAUGUCAAAAGAAUAGCAGGGGGUGUGCGCCGAGGAGCACAGCGGAGUGCCUGCUGCAUCGCAUGGCUGGAGUGGGG